rnacentral:rRNA from 1 species
GGGAAACCGAGUCUUAAUUGGGCGUUAAGUUGCAGGGUAUAGACCCGAAACCCGGUGAUCUAGCCAUGGGCAGGUUGAAGGUUGGGUAACACUAACUGGAGGACCGAACCGACUAAUGUUGAAAAAUUAGCGGAUGACCUGUGGCUGGGGGUGAAAGGCCAAUCAAACCGGGAGAUAGCUGGUUCUCCCCGAAAGCUAUUUAGGUAGCGCCUCGUGAAUUCAUCUCCGGGGGUAGAGCACUGUUUCGGCUAGGGGGCCAUCCCGGCUUACCAACCCGAUGCAAACUGCGAAUACCGGAGAAUGUUAUCACGGGAGACACACGGCGGGUGCUAACGUCCGUCGUGAAGAGGGAAACAACCCAGACCGCCAGCUAAGGUCCCAAAGUCAUGGUUAAGUGGGAAACGAUGUGGGAAGGCCCAGACAGCCAGGAUGUUGGCUUAGAAGCAGCCAUCAUUUAAAGAAAGCGUAAUAGCUCACUGGUCGAGUCGGCCUGCGCGGAAGAUGUAACGGGGCUAAACCAUGCACCGAAGCUGCGGCAGCGACACUGUGUGUUGUUGGGUAGGGGAGCGUUCUGUAAGCCUGCGAAGGUGGCCUGUGAGGGUUGCUGGAGGUAUCAGAAGUGCGAAUGCUGACAUAAGUAACGAUAAAGCGGGUGAAAAGCCCGCUCGCCGGAAGACCAAGGGUUCCUGUCCAACGUUAAUCGGGGCAGGGUGAGUCGACCCCUAAGGCGAGGCCGAAAGGCGUAGUCGAUGGGAAACGGGUUAAUAUUCCCGUACUUGGUGUUACUGCGAAGGGGGGACGGAGAAGGCUAUGUUGGCCGGGCGACGGUUGUCCCGGUUUAAGCGUGUAGGUGUGUGUUCCAGGUAAAUCCGGUUCACUUUAACACUGAGGCGUGACGACGAGGCACUACGGUGCUGAAGCAACAAAUGCCCUGCUUCCAGGAAAAGCCUCUAAGCAUCAGGUAACAUCAAAUCGUACCCCAAACCGACACAGGUGGUCAGGUAGAGAAUACCAAGGCGCUUGAGAGAACUCGGGUGAAGGAACUAGGCAAAAUGGUGCCGUAACUUCGGGAGAAGGCACGCUGACACGUAGGUGAAGUGAUUUACUCAUGGAGCUGAAGUCAGUCGAAGAUACCAGCUGGCUGCAACUGUUUAUUAAAAACACAGCACUGUGCAAACACGAAAGUGGACGUAUACGGUGUGACGCCUGCCCGGUGCCGGAAGGUUAAUUGAUGGGGUCAGCGCAAGCGAAGCUCCUGAUCGAAGCCCCGGUAAACGGCGGCCGUAACUAUAACGGUCCUAAGGUAGCGAAAUUCCUUGUCGGGUAAGUUCCGACCUGCACGAAUGGCGUAAUGAUGGCCAGGCUGUCUCCACCCGAGACUCAGUGAAAUUGAACUCGCUGUGAAGAUGCAGUGUACCCGCGGCAAGACGGAAAGACCCCGUGAACCUUUACUAUAGCUUGACACUGAACAUUGAGCCUUGAUGUGUAGGAUAGGUGGGAGGCUUUGAAGUGUGGACGCCAGUCUGCAUGGAGCCGACCUUGAAAUACCACCCUUUAAUGUUUGAUGUUCUAACGUGGACCCGUUACCCGGGUUGCGGACAGUGUCUGGUGGGUAGUUUGACUGGGGCGGUCUCCUCCUAAAGAGUAACGGAGGAGCACGAAGGUUGGCUAAUCCUGGUCGGACAUCAGGAGGUUAGUGCAAUGGCAUAAGCCAGCUUGACUGCGAGCGUGACGGCGCGAGCAGGUGCGAAAGCAGGUCAUAGUGAUCCGGUGGUUCUGAAUGGAAGGGCCAUCGCUCAACGGAUAAAAGGUACUCCGGGGAUAACAGGCUGAUACCGCCCAAGAGUUCAUAUCGACGGCGGUGUUUGGCACCUCGAUGUCGGCUCAUCACAUCCUGGGGCUGAAGUAGGUCCCAAGGGUAUGGCUGUUCGCCAUUUAAAGUGGUACGCGAGCUGGGUUUAGAACGUCGUGAGACAGUUCGGUCCCUAUCUGCCGUGGGCGCUGGAGAACUGAGGGGGGCUGCUCCUAGUACGAGAGGACCGGAGUGGACGCAUCACUGGUGUUCGGGUUGUCAUGCCAAUGGCACUGCCCGGUAGCUAAAUGCGGAAGAGAUAAGUGCUGAAAGCAUCUAAGCACGAAACUUGCCCCGAG